rnacentral:rRNA from 1 species
CCUACGGGAGGCAGCAGUGAGGAAUAUUGGUCAAUGGGCGAGAGCCUGAACCAGCCAAGUCGCGUGAGGGAGUACUGCCCUAUGGGUUGUAAACCUCUUUUGUCGGGGAGCAAAAGCCGGACGUGUCCGGCUGUGAGAGUACCCGAAGAAAAAGCAUCGGCUAACUCCGUGCCAGCAGCCGCGGUAAUACGGAGGCUGCGAGCGUUAUCCGGAUUUAUUGGGUUUAAAGGGUGCGCAGGCGGAUUUGUAAGUCAGCGGUAAAAUCGUGGGGCUCAACCCCAUCCAGCCGUUGAAACUGGGGAUCUAGAGUGUGCGAGAGGUAUGCGGAAUGCGAGGUGUAGCGGUGAAAUGCAUAGAGAUCACGCAGAACCCCGAUUGCGAAGGCAGCAUACCGGUGCACAACUGACGCUCAGGCACGAAAGCGUGGGUAUCGAACAGGAUUAGAUACCCUAGUAGUC